GGAUUACAUUUGUUUAUUAUAUGUUUGUGUAUAAACGAAUUUCCAUCCCAGGGCGAUUUAUAAUUAAUUUCGAUUAUGAAAUCGUACCUUGAGCAUACAUGGUAGGACCCGAAAGAUGGUGAACUAUGCCUGAUCAGGUUGAAGUCAGGCGAAACCCUGAUGGAAGACCGAAGCAGUUCUGACGUGCAAAUCUAUUGUCAGAAUUGGGUAUAGGGGCGAAAGACCAAUCGAACCAUCUAGUAGCUG
rnacentral:rRNA from 1 species